rnacentral:tRNA from 4 species
CGGAAUGUAGCGCAGCCUGGUAGCGCACCUCGUUCGGGACGAGGGGGUCGGAGGUUCGAAUCCUCUCAUUCCGACCA